rnacentral:lncRNA from 1 species
UUUAGAAAUUAAAAUUGGCAUGCAAAGAAAGUUAAUUAUACUAUAAAAAGAUUUAACUACCAAAUAUUAUAUUAUUAUUAUAUAAAUUAAUUCUUAAAAAUUAUGUGGGUCCCACAACCCUCCAAAAUAAGGAGAUGCCUUUUUUAGGGUUACUAAUUCAUAUAUAUUUUGAGGAUUAAAGUAAAAAACAUACAAAAUUUAAGGAUGAAAAUUGGCAUGUAAAAGAAAGUUAAAUAGGCGAUAGCAUGAUAAUUUUAUUAAUUCUAAAAUAUUUUUUAACGGUUGCUAUUUUAUCGCGAUAAAAUUAAGAGGUUUGAAAACUUAAUUGGAAAAAAAAAUAGGAACCAAAAUAAAAAUGGUAGAAAGUUUGGUAAGUACUAUGCAAUUAAUCCUAAAAAAAUUCUAAAAAAUUAUGGGCCCCACAUUUCUCCAAAAUAAGGGAGGGCCUUCAAUAGGUUCCCAAUUAGUAUAUUUACUAGUAUAGUAAUCCGUACGAUGCGGUGGAUAGAUAAUUAAAAAUAAAAUAGAACACAUCGAUAAAAAAGAAAAACUGUGAUGAGAAAAACGAUGAUAAGGAAUGUGACUUAUUUUGCUGAUGAACGAAGAUAACAGUUGAAGGAAAAGAAAAAUGAUGGACUUGAGUUGGUUCCGGUGGAAUCCCCACUCAACAAGAAGAAAAAAUUAUUGUGUGGCAACUUUAGAAAAAAUAAUGUAUAUAUAGGUAUAGAAGCUAUAGGUUUAUUAUAAAUAAAUAAACAAAUAAGUAAAUAAAUUGA